rnacentral:rRNA from 2 species
UACGUAGGGGGCGAGCGUUGUCCGAAGUUACUGGGCGUAAAGCGCGCGUAGGCGGUCAUUUAAGUUCGGGGUGAAAGGUUCAGCGCUCAACGCGAACAGUGCCUUGAAUACUGGGUGACUUGAGUUCGGGAGAGGGCAGUGGAAUUCCUGGUGUAGCGGUGAAAUGCGUAGAUAUCAGGAGGAACACCGAUGGCGAAGGCAGCUGCCUGGCCUAGAACUGACGCUGAGGUGCGAAAGCGUGGGGAGCGAACAGG